UACAGAGGGUGCGAGCGUUGUCCGGAAUUACUGGGCGUAAAGGGCGCGUAGGCGGCUUGGUAAGUCGGGGGUGAAAGUCAGCGGCUCAACCGCUGGACUGCCUUCGAGACUGCCUGGCUUGAGCAUGGUAGAGGCUGGCGGAAUUCCCGGUGUAGCGGUGGAAUGCGUAGAGAUCGGGGAAGAACAUCGGUGGCGAAGGGCGGCCAGCUGGGCCAUUGCUGACG
rnacentral:rRNA from 1 species